GGAGGUAUAGCUCAGUAGCAGAGAACAUGCCUAGCAAGCAUGAGGUCUGGGGUUCAUUCCCCAGUACCUCCA
rnacentral:tRNA from 1 species